rnacentral:tRNA from 1 species
AGCGGGUGAGGGCGCUGGUGUGCUCGGCGGUUUCAUAAGCCGUUGUGGGCGGGUUCGAUUCCCGCACCCGCUACCG